GGUUAAGCGACUAAGCGUACACGGUGGAUGCCCUGGCAGUCAGAGGCGAUGAAGGACGUGCUAAUCUGCGAUAAGCGUCGGUAAGGUGAUAUGAACCGUUAUAACCGGCGAUUUCCGAAUGGGGAAACCCAGUGUGUUUCGACACACUAUCAUUAACUGAAUCCAUAGGUUAAUGAGGCGAACCGGGGGAACUGAAACAUCUAAGUACCCCGAGGAAAAGAAAUCAACCGAGAUUCCCCCAGUAGCGGCGAGCGAACGGGGAGGAGCCCAGAGCCUGAAU
rnacentral:rRNA from 1 species